rnacentral:snRNA from 1 species
AGCUGCGUGGUGAGCACAAAGCGAACUAUUCUUUCGCCUUUUACUAAAGAAUACCGUGUGUUCUCCACAUCCAGCAGCAUACACCAAUUUUUUUAGGGGUUUUCCACAUAUAUUGU